rnacentral:tRNA from 1 species
GGACCCGGUGGGCCGGGGGGGCCCCCCCCUCGCCCCGGCGGGCCGUCGCGGCCGGCCUCGUCGGUUCGAAGCCCGGCCGGGCAUGC